GACGAACGCUGGCGGCGUGCCUAAUACAUGCAAGUAGAACGCACAGUUUAUACCGUAGCUUGCUACACCAUAAACUGUGAGUUGCGAACGGGUGAGUAACGCGUAGGUAACCUGCCUGGUAGCGGGGGAUAACUAUUGGAAACGAUAGCUAAUACCGCAUAAUAUUGAUUAUUGCAUGAUAAUUGAUUGAAAGAUGCUAUUGCAUCACUACCAGAUGGACCUGCGUUGUAUUAGCUAGUAGGUGAGGUAACGGCUCACCUAGGCGACGAUACAUAGCCGACCUGAGAGGGUGAUCGGCCACACUGGGACUGAGACACGGCCCAGACUCCUACGGGAGGCAGCAGUAGGGGAUCUUCGGCAAUGGACGAAAGUCUGACCGAGCAACGCCGCGUGAGUGAAGAAGGGUCUCGGAUCGUAAAGCUCUGUUGUAAGGGAAGGACGGGUGUGAGAGUGGAAAGUUCACACUGUGACGGUAUCUUACCAGAAAGGGACGGCUAACUACGUG
rnacentral:rRNA from 1 species